rnacentral:rRNA from 1 species
UACGGGGGGGGCAAGCGUUGUUCGGAAUUACGGGGCGUAAAGGGCUCGUAGGUGGCCAACUAAGUCGGACGUGAAAUCCCUCAGCUUAACUGGGGAACUGCGUCCGAUACUGGAUGGCUCGAGUUUGGGAGAGGGAUGCGGAAUUCCAGGUGUAGCGGUGAAAUGCGUAGAUAUCUGGAGGAACACCGGUGGCGAAGGCGGCGUCCUGGACCAUUAUUGACGCUGAGGAGCGAAAGCUAGGGGAGCAAACGGG